rnacentral:rRNA from 1 species
UACCAGCACCCCGAGUGGUCGGGACGAUUAUUGGGCCUAAAGCAUCCGUAGCCGGCCUUACAAGUCCUCCGUUAAAUCCAGCUGCUUAACAGAUGGGCUGCGGAGGAUACUAUAAGACUAGGAGGCAGGAGAGGCAAGCGGUACUCAGUGGGUAGGGGUAAAAUCCGUUGAUCCAUUGAAGACCACCAGUGGCGAAGGCGGCUUGCCAGAAUGCGCUCGACGGUGAGGGAUGAAAGCUAGGGGAGCAAACAGG